rnacentral:rRNA from 1 species
AGAGUUUGAUCCUGGCUCAGGACGAACGCUGGCGGCGUGCUUAACACAUGCAAGUCGAACGGUGACGACCAGCUUGCUGGUCUGAUCAGUGGCGAACGGGUGAGUAACACGUGAGCAACCUGCCCCUGACUCUGGGAUAACGACCGGAAACGGUCGCUAAUACCGGAUAUGAGACGUACAGGCAUCUGUUGCGUCUGGAAAGUUUUUCGGUCAGGGAUGGGCUCGCGGCCUAUCAGCUUGUUGGUGGGGUAACGGCCUACCAAGGCGACGACGGGUAGCCGGCCUGAGAGGGCGACCGGCCACACUGGGACUGAGACACGGCCCAGACUCCUACGGGAGGCAGCAGUGGGGAAUAUUGCACAAUGGGCGCAAGCCUGAUGCAGCGACGCCGCGUGAGGGAUGACGGCCUUCGGGUUGUAAACCUCUUUCAGCAGGGAAGAAGCGCAAGUGACGGUACCUGCAGAAGAAGCGCCGGCUAACUACGUGCCAGCAGCCGCGGUAAUACGUAGGGCGCAAGCGUUGUCCGGAAUUAUUGGGCGUAAAGAGCUCGUAGGCGGUUUGUCGCGUCUGCUGUGAAAACCUCAGGCUCAACCUGGGGCUUGCAGUGGGUACGGGCAGACUAGAGUGCGGUAGGGGUGACUGGAAUUCCUGGUGUAGCGGUGGAAUGCGCAGAUAUCAGGAGGAACACCGAUGGCGAAGGCAGGUCACUGGGCCGCAACUGACGCUGAGGAGCGAAAGCAUGGGGAGCGAACAGGAUUAGAUACCCUGGUAGUCCAUGCCGUAAACGUUGGGCACUAGGUGUGGGGCUCAUUCCACGAGCUCUGUGCCGCAGCAAACGCAUUAAGUGCCCCCGCCCCCGCGAGUACGGCCGCAAGGCUAAAACUCAAAGAAAUUGACGGGGGCCCGCACAAGCGGCGGAGCAUGCGGAUUAAUUCGAUGCAACGCGAAGAACCUUACCAAGGCUUGACAUACACCGGAAAAGUGCAGAGAUGUGCUCCCCGUAAGGUCGGUGUACAGGUGGUGCAUGGUUGUCGUCAGCUCGUGUCGUGAGAUGUUGGGUUAAGUCCCGCAACGAGCGCAACCCUCGUCCCAUGUUGCCAGCGGGUUAUGCCGGGGACUCAUGGGAGACUGCCGGGGUCAACUCGGAGGAAGGUGGGGAUGACGUCAAAUCAUCAUGCCCCUUAUGUCUUGGGCUUCACGCAUGCUACAAUGGCCGGUACAAAGGGCUGCGAUACCGCGAGGUGGAGCGAAUCCCAAAAAGCCGGUCUCAGUUCGGAUUGGGGUCUGCAACUCGACCCCAUGAAGUCGGAGUCGCUAGUAAUCGCAGAUCAU